UGCGUAGGUGGCGUGGUAAGUCAGAUGUGAAAUCCCGGGGCUCAACCCCGGAACUGCAUCCGAUACUGCCAUGCUUGAGGGUUGGAGAGGUAGCUGGAAUUCUCGGUGUAGCAGUGAAACGCGUGGAUAUCGAGAGGAACACUCGUGGCGAAGGCGAGCUACUGGACAACAUCUGACGCUGAGGCUCGAAGGCUAGGGGAGCAAAAG
rnacentral:rRNA from 1 species